AUGAAGGACCGCGCCGGCUUCCACUUCUCCAUCGGCUGCAUGUCGCAGUCCGCCGUCGCCGUCGCCGACCCGCUCCGCAAGAAGCCACCAGCACCGGCGCCGCAGCAGCAGGCCGAUAACCCCUCCUCCUCCUCCAUCACCACACAGGACAGAGCACCCCGAGAGGAAGGGACCGGCGGUGAUGAGAAGGCAAAAGAAGGGAUCGUCGCAGCAGGGGUGCAGCGGCUGCUCAAGGGGAUCAAGACCUUCUUCGCGGCGUACGACGGCGAGGAAGAAGAAGAGGAGGAGGAGCGGGAGAUCGUGAUCGGGUACCCCACGGACGUGCAGCACGUCGGGCACAUCGGCUGGGACGGUCUCAACAAGGUGGGCGGCAUGGGCAUGGUCGGCGCCUUCUCUGUGCCCUCCUCCCUCCCUCUCCGCCAGCUCGAGAUCGCCAUGGACCCCGGCGCCGCAACCACCACCUGCACCAACUGA
rnacentral:rRNA from 1 species